rnacentral:rRNA from 1 species
GAUGAACGCUGGCGGCGUGCCUAAUACAUGCAAGUCGAGCGAACGGACGAGAAGCUUGCUUCUCUGAUGUUAGCGGCGGACGGGUGAGUAACACGUGGAUAACCUACCUAUAAGACUGGGAUAACUUCGGGAAACCGGAGCUAAUACCGGAUAAUAUUUUGAACCGCAUGGUUCAAAAGUGAAAGACGGUCUUGCUGUCACUUAUAGAUGGAUCCGCGCUGCAUUAGCUAGUUGGUAAGGUAACGGCUUACCAAGGCAACGAUGCAUAGCCGACCUGAGAGGGUGAUCGGCCACACUGGAACUGAGACACGGUCCAGACUCCUACGGGAGGCAGCAGUAGGGAAUCUUCCGCAAUGGGCGAAAGCCUGACGGAGCAACGCCGCGUGAGUGAUAAAGGUCUUCGGAUCGUAAAACUCUGUUAUUAGGGAAGAACAUAUGUGUAAGUAACUGUGCACAUCUUGACGGUACCUAAUCAGAAAGCCACGGCUAACUACGUGCCAGCAGCCGCGGUAAUACGUAGGUGGCAAGCGUUAUCCGGAAUUAUUGGGCGUAAAGCGCGCGUAGGCGGUUUUUUAAGUCUGAUGUGAAAGCCCACGGCUCAACCGUGGAGGGUCAUUGGAAACUGGAAAACUUGAGUGCAGAAGAGGAAAGUGGAAUUCCAUGUGUAGCGGUGAAAUGCGCAGAGAUAUGGAGGAACACCAGUGGCGAAGGCGACUUUCUGGUCUGUAACUGACGCUGAUGUGCGAAAGCGUGGGGAUCAAACAGGAUUAGAUACCCUGGUAGUCUACGCCGUAAACGAUGAGUGCUAAGUGUUAGGGGGUUUCCGCCCCUUAGUGCUGCAGCUAACGCAUUAAGCACUCCGCCUGGGGAGUACGACCGCAAGGUUGAAACUCAAAGGAAUUGACGGGGACCCGCACAAGCGGUGGAGCAUGUGGUUUAAUUCGAAGCAACGCGAAGAACCUUACCAAAUCUUGACAUCCUUUGACAACUCUAGAGAUAGAGCUUUCCCCUUCGGGGGACAAAGUGACAGGUGGUGCAUGGUUGUCGUCAGCUCGUGUCGUGAGAUGUUGGGUUAAGUCCCGCAACGAGCGCAACCCUUAAGCUUAGUUGCCAUCAUUAAGUUGGGCACUCUAAGUUGACUGCCGGUGACAAACCGGAGGAAGGUGGGGAUGACGUCAAAUCAUCAUGCCCCUUAUGAUUUGGGCUACACACGUGCUACAAUGGACAAUACAAAGGGCAGCGAAACCGCGAGGUCAAGCAAAUCCCAUAAAGUUGUUCUCAGUUCGGAUUGUAGUCUGCAACUCGACUACAUGAAGCUGGAAUCGCUAGUAAUCGUAGAUCAGCAUGCUACGGUGAAUACGUUCCCGGGUCU